UACGGAGGGGGCAAGCGUUGUUCGGAAUUACUGGGCGUAAAGGGCGCGCAGGCGGCUGCUCAAGUCAGGCGUGAAAGGCCUGGGCUCAACCCGGGAAUUGCGCUUGAGACUGGGCUGGCUUGAGUGCGGGAGAGGAUGGUGGAAUUCCCAGUGUAGAGGUGAAAUUCGUAGAUAUUGGGAGGAACACCAGUGGCGAAGGCGACUACCUGGCCUGUUCUUGACGCUGAGGCGCGAAAGCUAGGGGAGCAAACGGG
rnacentral:rRNA from 1 species